rnacentral:rRNA from 1 species
CAAUAUAAGUGAUGGCGACCGGCGCACGGGUGAGUAACACGUAUCCAACCUGCCGAUAACUCGGGGAUAGCCUUUCGAAAGAAAGAUUAAUACCCGAUGGUAUAAUAAAACCGCAUGGUUUAAUUAUUAAAGAAUUUCGGUUAUCGAUGGGGAUGCGUUCCACUAGGCAGUUGGUGAGGUAACGGCUCACCAAACCUUCGAUGGAUAGGGGUUCUGAGAGGAAGGUCCCCCACAUUGGAACUGAGACACGGUCCAA